rnacentral:lncRNA from 1 species
CUGCCGCUCCUCCUGCUCGCACGCCUCUACCACCGCGCCAACCUCUGACACCACCUGCAAAAAGAAAGCAACAAAGUAGAAAACGACAAACAAGCAUAAUCCAAAUUGCAAACAACAAAAUAGAAGUUUAGGGUUUUAAGAAUCGGCUAUAGCCAUGAAAUAUCAAUGUGUUGUCUUCUUCUUCUUUUUAAAAAAAAACUGAUUGAAUGCAAAAACAAAAGAAAUGAUUUGAUUGUUGUUGAAGGUGAU